GAUGAACGCUGGCGGCGUGCCUAAUACAUGCAAGUCGAGCGAACAGACGAGGAGCUUGCUCCUCUGACGUUAGCGGCGGACGGGUGAGUAACACGUGGAUAACCUACCUAUAAGACUGGGAUAACUUCGGGAAACCGGAGCUAAUACCGGAUAAUAUAUUGAACCGCAUGGUUCAAUAGUGAAAGACGGUUUUGCUGUCACUUAUAGAUGGAUCCGCGCCGCAUUAGCUAGUUGGUAAGGUAACGGCUUACCAAGGCAACGAUGCGUAGCCGACCUGAGAGGGGGAGCGGCCGCAAGGGAGGUGGGACGGGGACCAGGGGACUGAGGGAGGGAGCAGAAGGGAAUGUUCGGCAGUGGGGGGGAGCCUGAAGGGAGGAGGGGGCGAGAGAGGUAGAGAUGUACGGAGCGUGAAACUCGGUUAUGAGGGGAAAACAAAUGUGUAAGUAACUGUGCAGGGAGUGACGGUAACUAGUCAGGAAGCCACGGCUAACUACGUG
rnacentral:rRNA from 1 species